CAAGCAAGAGCAUGAAUUCUCAAAGAGGCAUGCAGAGGCUUCAAGGAUCAGGGAGAAAUAUCCCGAUAGAGAAUUCCGAUAUUGAAUUCUUUUCAAAUCUCAUUUGUCAAUCUGUGUUCAUCACCAACACUUUUCCGCAAUAACCCAGAUCAUACUUCCACCUGAGGGGAUGGAUUGGGAGAAGGAUAUAGUAUGCUUGAUCAAGCUGGCAACCGGAAGUUGCGUGUAUCAGUUAGUCAAAGCAAGCUCGCUACCAAAGUAGCCAAAAAGCAUUGAUCAUCUGAUAGAUCCACAGGCAGACGCUAAUACACUUGGGAGUGGAACUCAGAGCACAUACUUCUCGGAAACAAGAAAAGGAACAUUUUCAAAGAUCAAGAGAACCCGAGCCCCAUUUCACUAAAGUGAGAUAGACCCAUGUCAAUAAUCUUUGACAACCCAACGUCGGCUAUCGUCGCUUGAAAGUUCAUAUUUAGGACAAUGUUCGUCGGCCGGCAAAAUCUAAACAUCAAAAAGCAACAUGAAAAUUGACUUCAAUUCCAUUAGGUACACUUUUUAGCUGUUGAAAUUUUAAUAAUGUUUUCUACAAAAUAUGUUUACAAAGAGUUUUCUAAUAGUGUUUUCAAGGAGGCGUAAAGCGAAACAACUUUGUUCUAAACAUAGUUGUUAAUGGCGAAUAGCAGGCGGCUAUUUUAUAA